rnacentral:rRNA from 1 species
AGAUUGAACGCUGGCGGCAGGCCUAACACAUGCAAGUCGAGCGGUAGAGAGGUGCUUGCAUCUCUUGAGAGCGGCGGACGGGUGAGUAAUGCCUAGGAAUCUGCCUAGUGGUGGGGGAUAACGUUCGGAAACGGACGCUAAUACCGCAUACGUCCUACGGGAGAAAGCGGGGGACCUUCGGGCCUCGCGCCAUUAGAUGAGCCUAGGUCGGAUUAGCUAGUUGGUGAGGUAAUGGCUCACCAAGGCGACGAUCCGUAACUGGUCUGAGAGGAUGAUCAGUCACACUGGAACUGAGACACGGUCCAGACUCCUACGGGAGGCAGCAGUGGGGAAUAUUGGACAAUGGGCGAAAGCCUGAUCCAGCCAUGCCGCGUGUGUGAAGAAGGUCUUCGGAUUGUAAAGCACUUUAAGUUGGAGGAAGGUUGUAACCUAAUACGUUGCAACUUUGACGUUACCGACAGAAUAAGCACCGGCUAACUUCGUGCCAGCAGCCGACGG